rnacentral:lncRNA from 1 species
CAAGCAGUAAAAUUAAGACUUCCACUAUAUUACAAUCAAGAACACAUGUUCAAGAAUUUAGAUCGAAACACUGCUAAAAUGACAUAGAUCAGCAUAAAGUACUAGAGCUGUUUCAAUGCAGUUCUAUUACCUACAAGCAGCUAAUACAUACUUGGUAAGAAUCCAGGGAGAGAUCAAGGAGACGAAUUAAUAGAGUUCCAACAGACAUGAGAAUGUCUUACGAAUGCAGCAAAAGACUAGACAUGAUCGAAGAGUUAGAUAGAAUUUGUCUUUUUGGUUCCAAGUUUGAGUUUUUGUUGUUGAAUCAGUUUAC